rnacentral:rRNA from 1 species
CCGUGUAGCUAGGGACUAGACCACAACGGUGGGCUGGUCACAGAGCCCCCGAUGACGUAACGGACAAGAUACGUCUUUUAAAAUUCACGUUAUGUCAAAGACUCCUCUAAAACUAGGAGUCCAACCAGCCGGCGUGGGUUGGACUCAGAGCUCCUGACUCGUGCGGUGAAAAACACAGGGCUUCAUAAGACGGCUCGAUCCUGAACUAGGAGUCUGGCUAAAACGUUUAGUUGGACUCAGAGUCGCCGAUGCCCCUAGUCGCCAGAAUACAGUAGGAAGUACACGUAGAGCCCAAAAUCUGGCUAUGGGUGGAACUCCCGAUGAUCGAUACAUAGAGCCGUCUCUUAUUUAACGUGGUUAGUUUUUGUAACUGUUUUUAGCCGGGUGUAAGCCCCACCACGUGGUGGAGCCUUCGUCAGGCCGUAUUUCGAGCCCGCGAUCACUGACCGAGGUAUCUCCCGUAAAGGCCGUAAUUCGAGCCGAUUUGAGGAAGCUUGAAGAAACUUGGUUCCACUAAAUGCUGUGGAGCCUAUUUCAAGCCGCAACCUCGAGCCUAUGUAACAGGCCGCAACCUCGAGCCUAUGUCAGGCCGCAACCUCGAGCCUAUGUAUCAGGCCGCUAUCUCGACCCGUCGUCAGGCUGUAACCACGAGCCGACGUUUUCUAUGGAGCUUACGUCAGGUCACAACCUCGAGCCUGCGUUCUCCUGCAACGGCGGGCCCUUGUUGAAGUUUGGGCUCCACACCGUAUUUUUAUUGUUCCGUAACUAUUUCCGGCCUUUGAAUUUCCCCGAGGAGCCUAUGGGCUGCAUAUUUGAGCAGCUUACGUAAAGCCGCUAGGAGUUAUAGCCUCUUCUAAACAACUUGGUCAAAAGUUCUGGCCGUUGGCUUCUACUUCUUGUCAAGCCUUCUUAGCUCCUCGCAGGGAUUGAACUUCUGGCCAAGUCCCCCGAUGACUGCCACAGGACCUGAUCCCCCAUGAGUUGCGCAGCAGAGGGCUAGUCAACCUAACCCGGCUCCUGGGGGUACCGGCAUAUGAGUACCCGGUCAGGCCUGUCGACGGCGUAUGUUUCUUCUUAGUUGUUCUGAACCGCUAGUUCUGUUCAUGAGGAGGGAGUGGCCGCAUAAGCCAAUCCUGAGAACAAUAGGAUCCGGAGACCACGUAAUAUAUUUGGCCCCGGUCCGAUCAGCUAUCUAUAUCUGUUGUAGUUAGUAUGGUAUCCGAUCGAAGAUCCCUAAUAGGAGAGACUAGAGCACCAUCUAGUUGAGAACAUUAUGGGUGUAGUAGUUAUAGUUAGUUCGUCCUGCAUCCCAAAAUGGAGGUAGUUCUCCCGGGCUUGGACCCAUUUUGUAGCACAGGGAAUGGAGGACAAUGGUAACUAGGAUUCUGCGUGACGAACCCUUGGGGAUGGGCUCUAGGCGGCCAAAACUGUGGCUGUCUGUAAAAUUAAUGGGUACUACGUAAAAGAAAAACAAUUGAAUAAAGUAACAAGAGUAGACGGUUGUUUUAAGAGAUAAUGCCACGUUAAUAUUUCGAAUAUGAAGUCAGUAAAGACAAAAAAACAUAGUGUUGUCAAAACUCUAACCGGAACAAUAGUAACAUGUUCUGUAGAAUCCAUUCUAGGGUACACGACUACCCAAUCAAAGAGUACAUUUGAGUAGAAAAUACCACAAGACACUAUUAGUACCGUCUGAUUUCUAUACAAUAGAUACGCCAUAUUAUCAUGGUAAUUUUAAGUUCGAGGGAAACCGUAACAUUGUCACGACAGAUUAAUAGUACGUCGCGUUUAUAGAUUGAUUUAACGCGAUACCUCGAACGUAACGAAAAUCAAAACCUGUACUUGUAUCUACGGAGACUAAUAAUGGAACCCUGUACCGAAAACGGAAGCUUUAAAAACAAUAAGACUUGAUACGAAUACCUAGAGUAAAUUAGUCCACGUGUGUGUAAACGUCACAAAUAGUUGAUCAUGUCCAGCGACAGACAGCAGAGAAAGAUAGACGAGGAGGAGAGCAACUGAACCGUACGACCAGGGACGGCACAGAGGGUGACCGAACGGGGAACGGUAGCAGUCCUCCCAACACACCCGACAAGAUGUAACCUUAGGUAUAAUUGAUACUUUUCUAGCGGUGGUACGGCAGAGAGAGACACUGGCGGAGAGGGUUGCAAAACCAAACAACCAACUGCAACACAGAGGGCGGCGGUAACGACCUUCCCAACACAUCCGGCGGCGAGUACGGUGAUGAGAUAUCACUGGUCACUCCUGGCACCGUAGCUCUAUCGGGUUUUCCCUUUGUGGUGGCCGGUGCCGCGGCCACCUCCGGAGGGGCAGACGGCUACUGACCUAUGGUGGCGGAGGCGGUGACGGUAACAGAAACAACGAAGAAACGACCGGAAACUAGUUCAGUUUCCGUUGUCCUUCCGUGUUGCCGCUAGUUCCAGGAAUACAUGCGGCUCAUGAUAGAAAACAGAACACACGUAGAAAUAUAUACAGGUCCCGUAACACCGAUCUAAAUCAUCUCUGUACCAAUGAUAAUCUGGGUUCUAUACAAUUAACUUGUGUACUACUGUUAGUAUGUUUGGUUCUUGGAACUCUAUCAUGAAAUAAAGAUACCACAUGAACUUUAUUUUAAUUAGUACGUGACCUGAACGUGAUUAAUACAAGUACAUACACAAAAGCACCCUUCGUUUUGAGUAAAGACAGUUUAAUCACGUUCCAUUGAUCUGAGUGGAAACGUAUAUAUAAAAUCAACUUUCUUUUAACUUGGUAUAUACGACCCAUGGUUAUUUCAAUAGAUGACCAAGGAAGACAAUGAAAUAAGUCGAAGACAACACAAAAAGUGUUUUUUAUUGAAUACAACGCAGAGACAGGCCAACUCAACUCGUAUACAUAUGGAUGGAGUCAGCCACUCCAAAGAGAUGGAAGCAAGACACUGAGCUUAACUAAAGAAAAGAUCCGAGAAAAUGACAUAGUACACAUACAUGGUAACAACGUACAGAGAUUAACAAAUAUAACGACUUUCGUGUUGGUGAUUAUGAUACAACAACUAUCUAUUUUGUAAAAUCUUGGCGUAACAAAUUCUUAAUUCUUUAAAUACAGAGGCUAUACCUUCAUACAUAAUACAACAACGGUUUAGACCGUAAGAUUAACAACUAGGAAAACAUCUUUUAUUCUAGGGUACCAAUAAACACAACAGUGAAGCGUACGCUUUUAUUAAUACACACCAAAGUACCUGAGAAUGGAAUAACUACCCGUGGUCCGUCUCGGACCCCUCUACAUCCGGUCGCGAGGCGGAGAGAGUGAAAGGUUCAGUGGCAACUCGGCGGAAGAAACGAAGUCUCCGAAGAACACAGUGGUAUCUAGGCACGUAGUGUUGUACGUACGUUUAGUUUUCUUCCUCACACCUCUUUCAAUAUAUAGUUCGUUUAACCUACUUCCGCACACCUAUUUCAAUAUAUAGGUUAUCGGUUGGUACAUGAUGAAACCACUAGAUUUGCAAGAAUAUAAAGAAAUGCCUCUCUCAUCAAACAACACGUUAUACUUUUUGUAACAUUUAUUCAAUAGACCCUGAUUAUGAUACCGGACGAAAAACCAAAGAUAGUAUGGUCUGGAACGAGUCCACAAAGUACAGUGUAACAUAUUGUUUACGCGGUUACCGUACAUCUAUCCCGGUAAAAAAAUGACAACACUCAUAGAUGGUAGUCCAUGAGAAACUCAUUAUAGUAUAUAUAAAGGUCUCUAUAUAACUCGUUAUA